CCCAGACUCCUACGGGAGGCAGCAGUGGGGGAUAUUGCACAAUGGGGGAAACCCUGAUGCAGCGACGCCGCGUGGGUGAAGAAGCGCCUCGGCGCGUAAAGCCCUGUCAGCAGGGAAGAAAAUGACGGUACCUGAAGAAGAAGCCCCGGCUAACUACGUGCCAGCAGCCGCGGUAAUACGUAGGGGGCAAGCGUUAUCCGGAUUUACUGGGUGUAAGGGGGGCGCAGACGGCGAUGCAAGCCAGGAGUGAAAGCCCGGGGCCCAACCCCGGGACUGCUCUUGGAACUGCGUGGCUGGAGUGCAGGAGGGGCAGGCGGAAUUCCUGGUGUAGCGGUGAAAUGCGUAGAUAUCAGGAGGAACACCGGUGGCGAAGGCGGCCUGCUGGACUGCAACUGACGUUGAGGCCCGAAAGCGUGGGGAGCAAACAGGAUUAGAUACCCCAGUAC
rnacentral:rRNA from 1 species